rnacentral:rRNA from 1 species
GAUGAACGCUGGCGGCGUGCCUAAUACAUGCCAGUCGAGCGAACAGACGAGGAGCUUGCUCCUCUGACGUUAGCGGCGGACGGGUGAGUAACACGUGGAUAACCUACCUAUAAGACUGGGAUAACUUCGGGAAACCGGAGCUAAUACCGGAUAAUAUAUUGAACCGCAUGGUUCAAUAGUGAAAGACGGUUUUGCUGUCACUUAUAGAUGGAUCCGCGCCGCAUUAGCUAGUUGGUAAGGUAACGGCUUACCAAGGCGACGAUGCGUAGCCGACCUGAGAGGGUGAUCGGCCACACUGGAACUGAGACACGGUCCAGACUCCUACGGGAGGCAGCAGUAGGGAAUCUUCCGCAAUGGGCGAAAGCCUGACGGAGCAACGCCGCGUGAGUGAUGAAGGUCUUCGGAUCGUAAGACUCUGUUAUUAGGGAAGAACAAAUGUGUAAGUAACUAUGCACGUCUUGACGGUACCUAAUCAGAAAGCCACGGCUAACUACGUG